UGAAUAUAUAUAUAUACAUAUAUAUAUAUAUAUAUAUAUGUACGCAUACACGUAUGUACACAUGUACAGACUUCUGAACAUACACAUGUUACGCACGUAUGUAUACUUAUACAAAAUAAAAGGUAUAUUGCCACCCAUGUAUAAUACUACUUAUUAAUGUUUCUAUGCACACGUGUACAGAGGAAAUCAAGGGGGAAGUGGGGGUAAAGGAAACCCCAUCAUGUGUUAAUGAUGUUGUUAAUAUAAUAAACACGUCAAAACAAAAUGAUGCUAUACGAGCAAAUAUAUUAUUAGAUUUACACUCUGAAAAAAAUAAUAGUAAUAAUAAUAAUAAUGACAUAAACACUGAAAAUGGUAAAAAGAAUUUAAGUAUAAUAGAAAUACAUAAAUUUAUAAAUAAAUUAAAAAGUACUAAUGCAUCAAAUUUUUCAAAAAGUGACAUCAAAAAUUUGCAAGAUGAUAUAAAAAAUUUAAAUAUAAGUAAACAUUUAAGUGAAAUAUUAAAUUAUAUUGUUAAUUUAACAUACCAAAUUAAUAAAUAUUCAGAUAUUUUUAUUUUAAUUAAUAUUAUAAAAUAUAUAAGUAUAAAUUAUAAUAAUGUUAAUGAUCUUAUAGAAAAAAUAAUUUUUAUAAAAUUUUUUAAAUUGAACGAAGAUGAUAAAAACUUUUUUUUUCUAAUUUUGCAUGAUGUAUAUAAUGAUAUUAGUGAAGAUAACAACUGGGUAGUGAAAGCGUCAUCUCUCCCCGUGUCAGACAAUUUGGUUUCGAUUUUUAAAAAUAAUAAGAAUGGAAAAACGAGUAGUUAUGUUAGUAACGAUAUAGCUAGCAGUCGUAAGGGUAGUGUGGACUGGACAGGUCCAACAGAAGUAAAUCCAACAGAAGUAAGUCCAACAGAGGUAGGUCGAACGGAGGUAGGUCGGACAGAGGUAGGCCAUAAAAUAAAUGAUGCGAAUCCUAUCAUGCGGUCAAAUUUUAAUUACAACUUCACCGAUAGUGACAUUAACAAAAACACAAGUACAUUCCAUGUGAAUACAGACGAAUGUGAAGUUAGCAGUUUGAAAAAACUAAAAAAAAACAAUAACAAUAAUAUUAUAAAAAAACUAAAAGAAAUAAAAGAUAAUUUAUUAAAAAAA
rnacentral:lncRNA from 1 species